AACUACAACACCACCUCUUCCUUUCUCGCUUCUUUGCAAAUUCUUCCUCCUUGCCCUUGUUGGCAUAACUAUGAUGCAGAAUUAUGUUUUCACUGGCAUAAGCUACAACUCUCACACUCUUGGAUCAGCUAUGAGCAACUUGACUCCGACAAUUACUUUUUUGCUGGCAUAGUGCUACAUAAUGCUAUCAAUACAUAUACUUAGCCGAAGUAUAUCAGAUAUAUGUGUGAUUUCCGAAAUUGAUUAGGUUCAGGGGAACUCUUUCCAGAAAAAGGUGACAUUACUCUUCGGGAUUCGCCAUGCUGUAGAGGUAUAGACCUGAGUUAUUAAUUCUGAUGACAAAAGUUUUGCUGUUUUUCUUACUCUAAUGCUGUACAGUAAAUAUGUUGUGCAAUGAAUAUCUGUUUAACUAUGCUU